UACGUAGGGGGCAAGCGUUAUCCGGAUUUACUGGGUGUAAAGGGAGCGUAGACGGCAAUACAAGUCGGAAGUGAAAUACCCGGGCUCAACCCGGGAACUGCUUUGGAAACUGUAUGGCUGGAGUGCUGGAGAGGUAAGCGGAAUUCCUAGUGUAGCGGUGAAAUGCGUAGAUAUUAGGAGGAACACCAGUGGCGAAGGCGGCUUACUGGACAGUAACUGACGUUGAGGCUCGAAAGCGUGGGGAUCGAACAGG
rnacentral:rRNA from 1 species